rnacentral:rRNA from 1 species
AUUGAACGCUGGCGGCAUGCUUUACACAUGCAAGUCGAACGGUAACAGGCCGCAAGGUGCUGACGAGUGGCGAACGGGUGAGUAAUGCAUCGGAACGUGCCCAGUCGUGGGGGAUAACGCAGCGAAAGCUGCGCUAAUACCGCAUACGAUCUAUGGAUGAAAGCGGGGGACCGUAAGGCCUCGCGCGAUUGGAGCGGCCGAUGUCAGAUUAGGUAGUUGGUGGGGUAAAGGCUCACCAAGCCAACGAUCUGUAGCUGGUCUGAGAGGACGACCAGCCACACUGGGACUGAGACACGGCCCAGACUCCUACGGGAGGCAGCAGUGGGGAAUUUUGGACAAUGGGCGCAAGCCUGAUCCAGCAAUGCCGCGUGCAGGAAGAAGGCCUUCGGGUUGUAAACUGCUUUUGUACGGAACGAAACGGUCCUGGUUAAUACCCGGGGCUAAUGACGGUACCAGGAGAAUAAGCACCGGCUAACUCUGUGCCAGCCGCCGCGGUAAAAC